rnacentral:rRNA from 1 species
GACAGAGGAGGCGAGCGUUAUCCGGAAUUAUUGGGCGUAAAGCGUCCGUAGGCGGUUUGGCAAGUCUGGGGUUAAAGCCCGGAGCCUAACUCCGGAUCGGCCCUGGAAACUGCCAGACUAGAGUAAGGUAGGGGUUGGGGGAAUGCCCGGUGUAGCGGUGAAAUGCGUAGAUAUCGGGAAGAACACCAGUGGCGAAAGCGGGCAACUGGGCCAGUACUGACACUGAGGGACGAAAGCUCGGGGAGCUAAUGGG